GGGAGCUGGGAGCCGCAGGAGCUCAGCGCUCCCGGACGCCGGCGCCUCUCACGUCCUGCAUCCAAUCCAGAGGCAAGUCCAGUCAGCUCUGCUUCUGGAACAAACCCAAAUCCAACCUGUGUGCCCGUGGGGACACCAUGAAGACCCUGCAGUCCGGGAUGGUCCCUCCCCUCACAGAGGCAGGGUACCUGAUUUACACUCGCCACCCUCUGGGACGGUCCUCUGGCCCUUUGCGUUGUCCCAGGCCUAAGGUGCUGGGUGACCUGGGCUCUGCUGCCCCCCUCUGUCCGUGGCUCCAGCCACACUGGCCUGUUUCUCUCCUGUCCCAGCCAAACUCCCUCCCACUGGGAACAGUAUCUAGCACUCAGACAGCACUGCCCAGGGACAGAGUGAGAGACAACCGUGGAGUGAGAAAAUGUGAAUGAAAACAUGGGUGAAAGAGAAAGGAUGUGAGGGCAGACAGACAGGAGGGGGCCAAUGAGAACAGGAGAGGGAAUGGGCGGGCAAAGCUGAGUGUUGCCAUGUGACUGGAACCUAGAGUGAGGUGAGCAGUGGAGACUGAAUCCUAAAUGGGAAUUCUGUGCCCAAGCACACUAGGGUGGUUAUUUAUUUACUUAAAAUCCCUGACAGUGGCAUUGAGGCACUUUUUUGUUUUACUUUUCAGGGAUAAAUAAAAGAUCAUCUAUCAAUAACUUCCUCAGGAAGAAAUCCACCUUCCUUUCUUUUGCACAAUCACCACAAAACCUGGCAUAAUAAGGGCUUGUCAUCAGUGAACUUUGAGGAAGCAUGAGGUGAAAUUAUUCAGAGCUCCAGGAGAGAUGUAAAUUCCUCACUCUCUUCAGAACAUAUUCAUAAAGGAUUUGGAAUUUUUGUUGUUGCAUGAGAGUGGGCACAUUCUCACCACAAGUUAUUAUGCAUGAGAGGUGAAAGAGUCUAUCUAUAAUAACAAAAAAAGGUAAUAUGCUAAUUAGACAGACAAAGCCUCCAUGGGCAGGGGCUGAUCCCCUUGCACGAAUUUCAUGCAUUGGGCCUCUAGUUUAUGUAUUAAUUGAUAAAAUUGGGUUCUUGUGUAGAAGUAGGAAAGGAUGGAACCAAGAAACCCAAGAUCUCUGAUCUAUUUUUUCUUAUGAUUCCUUCAAUUCCCUGUCUAUUAGAGAAUUAAUACCAUUUGUAAAAAAUUCCAAAAGGAAAUCUUAAAUGAAUGGCUGAUAUUUUGAUAAACUGAACAUUAUUUUUCAUAAGACAAGGAUAAAAUAUCUUGUGAAAUUUUA